CUGUUAACAAAUCAAUGUCAACAUACAUUGGAAAUUCAAGAUUUUAUAAGUUAUUAAGUGGUUAAUACCUAUAGGUACUAUAACAUGGAAAAACUGAAAGAUAAAAUAAUUAUAAUCAAUUUUGAAUUCACUAACUAUCGACGUACACUAAGGAACUGAUUUAAUACUUAUUAUUACAGAAAUAUCAUACAAAAGCUAAAAAAGUUGAAAACUGAGUAUGUUCGUAAAGAGUUUAAAAAAGAGUCAAAUUAUUUUAAAAAUUUUAUCGUGUAUAGAAAAUGCUAAUAUAAACAUUCAGUGAAAUUUUCAA